rnacentral:rRNA from 1 species
UCUGGCGGCCGUAGCGCGGUGGUCCCACCUGACCCCAUGCCGAACUCAGAAGUGAAACGCCGUAGCGCCGAUGGUAGUGUGGGGUCUCCCCAUGCGAGAGUAGGGAACUGCCAGAG